rnacentral:pre_miRNA from 1 species
UGCAGAGCUUGUGCGAUUGGCGCUUGACAAGUGAAGGGCGCCACACUCGAGCUCUCCAUC